rnacentral:lncRNA from 7 species
AUAGAAACAACAUUCUGGAAUAUCGUGUGGCAAACCUGCAAGGUUCUGGUGGGACAGUAUUGCCAUGCUAAUCCCCUGCUUGGGGUUACAGGAAAGAAGCUCAGCUUUGAAAGAUCUGAAUGGCUAUGUGAUAAAGUGACGAGAGGCAAUAAAACUAUAGGGCAAAACCACAUAAUUAGAGGAAGGAAGACACUACGGACUGCAAUGCAGCCUUUGAAACUUCCUUGUCAUCUACUGGUUAUAACUUUUGCAUAUGGAAGCAUACAGAGGACCUCCCCAGAAAUUCUCUUGUAGAUGUGGAGUGAUAGGCCUCAAAGUAAAGCUGUACCUCCGAGCUUCUGUGAGGCUGAAGUCAAGGAAUUAUCCUGUAAAUCCAGAUUGAGUCACACCUGGACAACCCAUUGUGUGAUACAGAUCCCUGCUGGGUUGCAGUUUGCAGCCACAGGGAAGUAUUGACACUUACUCAGCUUAAAGGCCAAAUAUAAAUUAAAUCAAAACAGAAGUCCCAGCAGCUUUGGGAGGAAGACUUGGCCUUUAGACUCCUUUUGCUCAUCUCUAAAGCUGUCAUUUCAGGUAAAUAACAAUUCUGCAAGUUUGUGGUUUUGACUUCUCACCUCAGCGGUUUGGAUCAGUGAUUGAGGACGUGGACCCAGGAAUUUGAAGAUGAGCUUCACUUUUAAUGUCUUCAUUUGGACACCAAGCAAAUCCCUAACUAAUUGAGGCUGAAAUGCCUUAGGAUGAUAUUUGCUGUUCUUUAUUUAAAUUCAGAGGGUUUAUCACCACACAGACAUUUCAGUUGCUUAUUCUAGGAAACUCAUGGAAACGUGCUUUGUUAAAUAAUGUAUUUUCUAUUUUUUUUUCCCUUCCUUGUGUUACAAAAUGAAUGUAAAAGCUUUAAAACCCAGCAUUCACCACUCUGCAGUAGAUCUAAUAGAGUGGCAUUAUAUGAAGAGAUGCCAUGGUAACUGAAGUUGCCAAGACAGUCAGUGUCAAGCUUUUUAAUGGUGACUGCUAUACUAUAUUUGGCUUUGAUUACCACAAUCUGAAUAGCAAAUGGAAAGUGUUCACCGGUCUCAUUUGCUACCACCUACAGUCCAGAAGUAACGAGAUGACAGAAUUCAGUGUUGCACUGACUGCCAACCACUGGCCAUCAGGAUUGUUCUUUGCAGCACUCCCCUCUCCCACUGGAUCUCAUGGCAUCCUUAUCACAGCCUUACCAUUUGUGCUAUCCAGUUGGUGAUAUGCCACUUGUCUUAAUGAAAUUUGGCACCUGAAGCCAGUAGAGGAGUCUGCACUUUGUGAGCUGGCAAAAAAUCAGCAAAGUCAUUUCCACAGGAAACUGUUCUUUAAAUCUGUAAGUGGUGCGAAAGCAGAAUAAAGCAGAAACAUACACUGUUUUUUUC